GGGCAAGCAACUGGACACAGGGUCAUCCAACGAACAUCGCCAUCAUUCUGCAGCACGAAGCGAGCGCCACUGCGGCAAAUGGCGUAUACACAGCCAGGAC